UCUCCUCUGUAGAGAGUCCACCUUAUAAAUAUAAGAAAUUUAACAAAUAAGACUAUUUAAUAUAAUAAUUUAAUACAAUAAUAAAGUGAUAUUUAAUAAAUAAAAUUUAUAUAAUUGAAAUGAAACGAAUACUCACUGAAAGAAAAAAAAUAAAAUAAUAGUAAAAGAUUUAGAGGCAAAUUAAGAAAUAUGGUAAUCUAAAAAAGUAAAAAAAUUCCAUAAUAAUAUUAAAGACAAUGUAUAAUAAAAAUUUAAUAUAUUUUUAACUACAAUGUAAGAUUGUUUCUGAACUUUUAAAAUUUUAAUAUAUUUUUGAUUACAAA
rnacentral:lncRNA from 1 species